GUAGGUGAACCUGCGGAAGGAUCAUUACCGAGUUAGGGCCCGCUCACCCGGGCUCGACCUCCCAACCCCUUGUUUAAUUAUACCCAUUGUUGCUUCGGCGGGACGGUCUUCCCAGACCGCCGGAGGGUGCACACCGCCCCUCUGGAGAGUUUGCCCGCCGACGGCCCCCUUCAAAAAUCUUGAACCCAACCGUGACGCCUAAAUUGAUUUAUUGUAUAAUGUACAAAAAAUAAAACUUUCAACAACGGAUCUCUUGGUUCUG
rnacentral:misc_RNA from 1 species